rnacentral:rRNA from 1 species
UACCAGCUCUUCGAGUGGUGUGGAUGUUUAUUGGGCCUAAAGCAUCCGUAGCUGGCUGGGCAAGUCCCCUGUUAAAUCCACCGAUUUAAUCGUUGGAGUGCGGGGGAUACUGUUCGGCUAGGGGACGGGAGAGGCAGACGGUAUUUUCGGGGUAGGGGUGAAAUCCUAUAAUCCCGGGAAGACCACCAGUGGCGAAGGCUGUCUGCUAGAACGCGCCCGACGGUGAGGGAUGAAAGCUGGGGGAGCGAACCGGAUUAGAUACCCGGGUAGUCCCAGCUGUAAACGAUGCAGGCUAGGUGUUUGGGCGGCCACGUGCCGCUCUAGUGCCGCAGGGAAGCUGUUAAGCCUGCCGCCUGGGGAGUACGGCCGCAAGGCUGAAACUUAAAGGAAUUGGGCGGGGGAGCACCACAAGGGGUGAAGCUUGCGGUUU